GAUAAUAAUGGGAGUUCAAAACAGGAGCUGGAGAAUAAUUUGACGACUUGGGUUGUUUGUUCCAUUAUAGGUUUUCAUAAUUUUUAUUAUUCGGCCACUCAUCAAACAUCUGCAAAGCCAAAUCGUUGAUAAAGUGGAAGUAUUUCUUAAGAUCAUCAAUGGAGAGAGGUUCAUCAAUGAGGCGCCUAAGGCGCUUGUGCUAAAAGCCGUAUUAAUUCCUACAACCAUCAAACAUAUGUUAUUGUACUUGUGUGUAGAUUAUUUUUUUCUUUUUUAUCACUUUUUAUUGUUUUCAUGGCUUUAGCGGCAUGUAAAAAUUUUCCAGCAUUUGAAUAGUUUUCUGUUUUUUUU